rnacentral:rRNA from 1 species
CCUACGGGAGGCGGCAGUGGGGAAUAUUGCGCAAUGGGCGAAAGCCUGACGCAGCGACGCCGCGUGAGGGAUGAAGGUCUUCGGAUCGUAAACCUCGGUCAGCAGGGAAGAACGGUCACUGUGCUAAUCAGCAGUGAAUUGACGGUACCUGCAAAGGAAGCACCGGCUAACUCCGUGCCAGCAGCCGCGGUAAUACGGAGGGUGCGAGCGUUCAUCGGAAUUACUGGGCCUAAAGCGCUCGUAGGCGGUAGGUCAAGUCAAGGGUGAAAUCCCCGCGCUCCACGUGGGAACUGCCUUUGAAACUGGCAGACUGGAGUGUGUGAGAGGCUAGUGGAAUUCCCGGUGU